rnacentral:rRNA from 1 species
GACGAACGCUGGCGGCGUGCCUAAUACAUGCAAGUCGAACGGUCUUUUCUAUGGAAGCUUGCUUCCACUGAGAAGAUAGUGGCGAACGGGUGAGUAACACGUGGGUAACCUGCCCAUAAGAGGGGGAUAACAUCCGGAAACGGGUGCUAAUACCGCAUAGUUUUCUUGAUCGCAUGAUCGAGAAAGGAAAGACGGCCUUUGUGCUGUCACUUAUGGAUGGACCCGCGGCGUAUUAGUUAGUGGGUGAGGUAACGGCUCACCAAGACGAUGAUACGUAGCCGACCUGGGAGGGUGAUCGGCCACAUUGGGACUGAGACACGGCCCAAACUCCUACGGGAGGCAGCAGUAGGGAAUCUUCCGCAAUGGACGAAAGUCUGACGGAGCAACGCCGCGUGAGUGAAGAAGGUUUUCGGAUCGUAAAACUCUGUUGUCAGAGAAGAACAAGUCGGAGAGUAACUGCUCCGGCCUUGACGGUAUCUGACCAGAAAGCCACGGCUAACUACGUGCCAGCCGCCGCAGUAAUAC